UCCGUAGGGUGCAAGCGUUAAUCGGAAUUACUGGGCGUAAAGCGUGCGCAGGCGGUUAUGUAAGUCAGAUGUGAAAUCCCCGGGCUCAACCUGGGAAUGGCAUUUGAGACUGCAUGGCUAGAGUGUGUCAGAGGGGGGUAGAAUUCCACGUGUAGCAGUGAAAUGCGUAGAUAUGUGGAGGAAUACCGAUGGCGAAGGCAGCCCCCUGGGAUAACACUGACGCUCAAGCACGAAAGCGUGGGGAGCAAACAGG
rnacentral:rRNA from 1 species